rnacentral:lncRNA from 1 species
GCGCCACCAGGCCGGCCUCGUUUUAUUCUUACGUGAUGUCUUCCGAAUCCAGCAUAAUUUCUGGCAAACGGUAGCAUUAACUACAUAGAUCGAAUAAUGUAUGGAUAAAUAACAUGCAUAUUUGGGAAAGAUUAAUCUGGUAUGUUGAAAUAAUUAAAAAUGAAAAACUACACAUGAACUUUUGAUAUAGGAGACUGAGAUAAAUAUCCGGAUAUACACUGAAGAUGACCAAGGAGAAGGUAGUCUAAGGAGUCACAGGAGAAAAGACAGAGAUAACUUCACUGGAAAUACUUUGUAUAAAUAUUUUGUAUAAGUGUUAAAAGCCGUCUCCUCCCCAAAUUAAAUUAUAUUCACUGGAAAUGUUAAGCACCAAUGAAUGCUUAAUGGUGAAGUCAAAUGGUGAAGUUAAAGGGUGAAGUCAAAUGGCCUGGGAUUUUCUGUUGACUGUAUCAUUACUAGCUACACGACUUCGGGAAGUAAAUUUAACUUUUCAGACUCCGUUCUCCAUUAUGUGAAAAAGAGUUAAUAUCUACCUCUGUAAGGUCGACAUCCAUUUGGGUUUUAAUGGACUGGCAAAGUGCUGAUUGUUGUCGGAUAUUUCUGGAUUGCUCAUUCAUUCAUUUGUUUAGUUAUUCACUCAGUUAAAAAUAUUCUCUGCAACCCUGCUUCUACAUUGAAACUAUUCUAUGCGUUUUGGAUUCAUUAGUGAUCAGAAAAAAAUCUCUGCCCUCUACAAGUUUACAUUCUUGAUGACCAGAUCAAAUGGUAAAAGCAGCUGAGUGUCUUAAGAAUCCCGAAGAAAAAGCACAAAGAUAACACAUUUAUAGACUUCAAGUAUUUUAUGUGAUUGUGCAGAAUCGUGACAUUUCUAUAGCAGCUAAACUGGCAAUUCAGCCCAGUAGAUUUCAAUAAAGUGAAAGUAGAAUGUAAUGAUUUAUUUUUAAUUGUUAAAAUUUAAAGUUUUAAUCAUUUGUUUUAAUUAUUAAAUUUUAGUUAUUAAAUUCCUAUUUAAAAUAUUAUGAAUCUGUUUUCCUUACUUUUUGUCCUCUUUUUCUUCUUAUUUUGGUUCUAAGCCUUCCAACUCUUUUUUGUGUACUAGGUAAAAAAGUGAUGAAUGAUUUGAGUAAUUCAUAGGACAACUAUUGUUUUAAAAAUUACAGUAUUUUUGGCUAUCUACAUUGCCUGUCAACUGCUUUUUUCUAACCAUUGGUAUUUUUCCUCAAACUUACUAUAUCUUUAGCCGAAAGGAAAAGUGAGGGGAAAAAUGUAAACACUUUUAAACUCCCUACCCGUCUGAUGAUUUAAUGGCUUGAAAUGUCCAUAACAACCACGGGAGCUAUGUUCCCAUAUUAGCAUUAUAUAAAGAAAAAAAGUAAAGACUAAGUUGGUAUUUGGCAGUAAACGAUUGGUCCCUGGUCUGUCUGAUACCAGUUUAUUAACUUACUACACAAAAUUGAAUAUAGAGA